GAAGGCGAUCAAAGCAACACUAAUGCAUCGGAUCCCAUCAGAACUUCGAAGUUAAGCGUGCUUGGGCGAGAGUGGUACUAGGAUGAGCUACCUACUGUGAAGUCCUCGUGUUACAUUAC
rfam:Triticum urartu cultivar G1812 contig1160106, whole genome shotgun sequence.